UCAACACAUGCAAGUCGAGCGUCCCGCAAGGGGAGCGGCAGACGGGUGAGUAACGCGUGGGAAUCUACCGUGCCCUACGGAAUAGCUCCGGGAAACUGGAAUUAAUACCGUAUACGCCCUACGGGGGAAAGAUUUAUCGGGGUAUGAUGAGCCCGCGUUGGAUUAGCUAGUUGGUGGGGUAAAGGCCUACCAAGGCGACGAUCCAUAGCUGGUCUGAGAGGAUGAUCAGCCACAUUGGGACUGAGACACGGCCCAAACUCCUACGGGAGGCAGCAGUGGGGAAUAUUGGACAAUGGGCGCAAGCCUGAUCCAGCCAUGCCGCGUGAGUGAUGAAGGUCUUAGGAUUGUAAAGCUCUUUCACCGGAGAAGAUAAUGACGGUAUCCGGAGAAGAAGCCCCGGCUAACUUCGUGCCAGCAGCCGGCGGUAAUACGAAGGGGGCUAGCGUUGUUCGGAAUUACUGGGCGUAAAGCGCACGUAGGCGGAUAUUUAAGUCAGGGGUUUAAAUCCCAGAGCUCAACUCUGGAACUGCCUUUGAUACUGGGUUAUCUUGAGUAUGGAAGAGGUGAGUGGAAUUCCGAGUGUAGAGGUGAAAUUCGUAGAUAUUCGGAGGAACACCAGUGGCGAAGGCGGCUCACUGGUCCAUUACUGACGCUAGGUGCGAAAGCGUGC
rnacentral:rRNA from 1 species